GAUGAACGCUAGCGAUAGGCUUAACACAUGCAAGUCGAGGGGCAGCAUGGUCUUAGCUUGCUAAGGCUGAUGGCGACCGGCGCACGGGUGCGUAACGCGUAUGCAACUUGCCUCACAGAGGGGGAUAACCCGUCGAAAGACGGACUAAUACCGCGUACACUCUAUGUUGGGCAUCCAAUGUAGAGGAAAUGAAAUUCGCUGUGAGAUAGGCAUGCGUCCCAUUAGCUAGUUGGUGAGGUAACGGCUCACCAAGGCGACGAUGGGUAGGGGAACUGAGAGGUUGAACCCCCACACUGGUACUGAGACACGGACCAGACUCCUACGGGAGGCAGCAGUGAGGAAUAUUGGUCAAUGGGCGAGAGCCUGAACCAGCCAAGUCGCGUGAAGGAUGACUGUCUUAUGGAUUGUAAACUUCUUUUAAACGGGAAUAACAAGAGUCACGUGUGGCUCCCUGCAUGUACCGUAUGAAUAAGCAUCGGCUAACUCCGUG
rnacentral:rRNA from 1 species